CUUUAUUGGAGAGUUUGAUCCUGGCUCAGGAUGAACGCUGGCGGCGUGCCUAAUACAUGCAAGUCGAGCGAAUG
rnacentral:rRNA from 5 species